GAUGAACGCUAGCGGCAGGCUUAAUACAUGCAAGUCGAGGGGCAGCACAGGUAGCAAUACUGGGUGGCGACCGGCAAACGGGUGCGGAACACGUACGCAACCUUCCUUUAAGUGGGGGAUAGCCCAGGGAAACUUGGAUUAAUACCCCUUAACAUUAUGAGAUGGCAUCAUUUUAUAAUUAAAGCUCCGGCGCUUAAAGAUGGGCGUGCGCCUGAUUAGGUAGUCGGCGGGGUAACAGCCCACCAAGCCUACGAUCAGUAACUGGUGUGAGAGCACGACCAGUCACACGGGCACUGAGACACGGGCCCGACUCCUACGGGAGGCAGCAGUAAGGAAUAUUGGUCAAUGGACGCAAGUCUGAACCAGCCAUGCCGCGUGGAGGAUGACGGCCCUCUGGGUUGUAAACUCCUUUUAUCUGGGAAGAAAUGCAGAUUUUCUAAUCUGUUUGACGGUACCAGAGGAAUAAGCACCGGCUAACUCCGUGCCAGCAGCCGCAGUAA
rnacentral:rRNA from 1 species